rnacentral:rRNA from 1 species
UGGGGAAUAUUGGACAAUGGGCGAAAGCCUGAUCCAGCAAUGCCGCGUGUGUGAAGAAGGUUUUCGGAUCGUAAAACUCUGUUGGUAGAGAAGAACGUUGGUGAGAGUGGAAAGCUCAUCAAGUGACGGUAACUACCCAGAAAGGGACGGCUAACUACGUGCCAG